CCGUAACUAUAACGGUCCUAAGGUAGCGAAAUUCCUUGUCGGGUAAGUUCCGACCCGCACGAAAGGCGUAAUGAUUUGAGCACUGUCUCGGCAAUGCACCCGGUGAAAUUGAAGUACCAGUGAAGAUGCUGGUUACCCGCGCCAGGACGGAAAGACCCCAUGGAGCUUUACUCCAGGUUGAUACUGGGGUCCGGUACCAUAUGUACAGGAUAGGUGGGAGACUUUGAAGUAGUGACGUCAGUUGCUGCGGAGUCGCUGUUGGGAUACCACCCUUAUGAUGCUGGGCUUCUAACCAAGGAUCUUGAAACAGGUCCGGGGACAAUGUCUGCCGGGGAGUUUGACUGGGGCGGUCGCCUCCGAAAGGGUAUCGGAGGCGCUCAAAGGUUCCUUCAGAAUGGACGGAAACCAUUCGAAGAGUGUAAAGGCAUAAGGGAGCCUGACUGUGACACCGACGGGUGGAACAGAUACGAAAGUAGGACUUAGUGAUCCGGUGGUAUGAAAGUGGGAUUGCCAUCGCUCAACGGAUAAAAGCUACCCUGGGGAUAACAGGCUUAUCUCCCCCAAGAGUUCACAUCGACGGGGAGGUUUGGCACCUCGAUGUCGGCUCAUCGCAUCCUGGGGCUGUAGCAGGUCCCAAGGGUUGGGCUGUUCGCCCAUUAAAGCGGUACGCGAGCUGGGUUCAGAACGUCGUGAGACAGUUCGGUCCCUAUCCGGCGCGGGCGUAGGAUAUCUGAGAGGAGCUGUCCUUAGUACGAGAGGACCGGGAUGGACGGACCGCUGGUGUAUCAGCUGCAUCGCCAGAUGCAUAAGGCUGGGUAGCCACGUCCGGAAGGGAUAAACGCUGAAGGCAUCUAAGCGUGAAGCCCCCCUCAAGAUGAGAUAUCCCUGCUUCGGCAGUAAGACCCCUUAGAGAGUAUGAGGUUAGAUAGGCACAAGGUGUAAGCAUGGUAACGUGUUCAGCUGAUGUGUACUAAUAGGUCGAGGGCUUAUCCAA
rnacentral:rRNA from 1 species